AUUCAUUUGUGGGAGCCAUAUCUAUUUUUGAAAGGGGUGGUUGCAAGGAUCCCACCAAUUUAAUUGAGUCAGAGUAUUUGAAAAUGCUUAAUAUAUUAUUAUAUUAGAAAAUUUUUAUUCACAGUAGAGUGUUUGUACGUGGAAGCAAUUAAAAAACAUAAACAUGCAUUUACACCGACUUAAUUUCUCAUUCAUAGAAUUGCACUUUCUGGGAGAAUUCAAUUUUAAUAAUUAAAAAAAUAUAUUAUCAAAAGAGAUAAUUAUAAAUUUUCAUAAAUUAAUUUUUUUGUAAACUAUAAAAUUCACGUAGAGAUAUAGUUCUGUAAAUUAACAGAGGCAAUGGUAACAGAUUCGCGAAUUCAGAAAACUGCACGAGAGCACGUGAUAGAGCAACUGCACCGACAACAAAUGAUCGCCGACAUGAAUAAUAAUAAUAAAUAAAACAGAAAAGGACAUGUAAAAAAAAAGGAAAAAAUAUAAAUAUAAAUAAUAAAAACAGGGAAAAGACAAAGAAACUGAAGUGAAAAGUUUGAUCCAAACAGUGGCCGGUUGGGUUCUGUGCUCUUACGAUACAGUUAGUACGGUAAAAAAGAAUUUGCGGUAGAAUGAGAUGGUGAUUACGUUUAGGA
rnacentral:misc_RNA from 1 species